CUUUGAACGCAGAUAUCUGUAAGACCCCCUUUCGGGGACCCCCACUCUAGUCUCAGGAGUGAGAGAGCACCCAAAGAAACACGAGGACCC
rnacentral:pre_miRNA from 7 species